CCUCACAUUUCUACUCCCCAAUCCAAACAAAACAUAUUUUUACCUUUUUUUCCACUGCCCAUACUUUCAGAUCGCACAUUCAAAUUAUUUGUGUGCAUUUUAAAUUUAUUUAUUAAAAGAAUUACAUUGUCAUGGUUACAUCUUAAAUGUAUUUUUAUGAUUUAUAGCUAUUGUUUGUUAACAUAUCAUUCCUUAAUUAGAAAAAUGUGUUAGCAAGAAACUACUCUAUAUUUAUCAUCAUCGUAGCAAUAACUUGUUAACAUACUUGUAAAAAUGAGUGGAUCCCUUUUAAACUUAGGAAGAAAAAAC
rnacentral:lncRNA from 1 species